rnacentral:rRNA from 1 species
AUUGAACGCUGGCGGCAGGCCUAACACAUGCAAGUCGAGCGGAUGAAGGGAGCUUGCUCCUGGAUUCAGCGGCGGACGGGUGAGUAAUGCCUAGGAAUCUGCCUGGUAGUGGGGGAUAACGUCCGGAAACGGGCGCUAAUACCGCAUACGUCCUGAGGGAGAAAGUGGGGAAUCUUCGGACCUCACGCUAUCAGAUGAGCCUAGGUCGGAUUAGCUAGUUGGUGGGGUAAAGGCCUACCAAGGCGACGAUCCGUAACUGGUCUGAGAGGAUGAUCAGUCACACUGGAACUGAGACCCGGUCCAGACUACUACGGGAGGCAGCAGUGGGGAAUAUUGGACAAGGGGCGAAAGCCUGAUCCAGCCAUGCCGCGUGUGUGAAGAAGGUCUUCGGAUUGUAAAGCACUUUAAGUUGGGAGGAAGGGCAGUAAGUUAAUACCUUGCUGUUUUGACGUUACCAACAGAAUAAGCACCGGCUAACUUCGUG